ensembl:lncRNA
UUGUAAAUACAACCCAUCUUUAUGUUUUAUUAUUUUCUCUUUUGUACUUUAACUAUCAUUAUAACACUGUACAUAGCCACAAUGACAUUUGAAAUGUCUCCAUUUCUCUGAAACCUUUGUGAGUGUAAUGUUUACAGUUAAUUUUUGAUUGUUUAUUUCACUUUUGCUUAUUAUCUAUUCACUUGCGUUGGCAAUGUAAACAUGUUUCCUAUGCCAAUAAAGCCCUUUGAAUUGAGAGAGAAUAAAAUGUGGUGGCUUGGAUAAUUGGAGACUGACAACUUGACAGGACAUAACACAUCGAUGGGAAGAGCCCCCGUUGCACUCUAAACUCUUUCUCACUCAAAGGAGCACUUACAAAGGUGAUACUAACUAAUAAGGAACACUAGGCUGUGGUUGCUCACUCUGUGCUUUACCUGUGUUUUGAGUUGUUGUUGACCUGUUGAUGCAGGUUUUUAUAGUGUUCUCAGGUUGGUGUUCGAAUCCUUGUGUGUGAGAGCCACUGUGUGUCCAAAUUCCUCUUUAGCUAGCAGGGGUGGGUGGGGGAUUUGGCUUUGUGAUCAUCUGAUCACAUUUCUUUUAAAACUACCCAACACCACCUCACCAGCCUGGCUCCCUCUACACUAUACUUCCGUUCUUGGUUACCAAAGGAAGCUUUGCCUAAUCUCUGCACCCCUAACAAACAUGAGGUGAGGAACCCUGAAAGUCACUGAAGGAGUGGAUAUAAUAACUUAAGUCUUUGUGAAAUGGUAUGGGCGGCAGGUAGCGGAGCGGUUAAGAGCGUUGGGCCAGUAACCGAAAGGUUCGAAUCCCUGAGGCCAACUAGGUGAAAAAUAUGUUGAUGUGCAAGGCACUUAACCGUAAUUGCUCUGGAUAAGAGCAUCUGCUAAAAUAUGGAAGAGAAAAGUAACCUUUCAUUAGUUGAUAUACAGUAACUGAGUGCUGUUAGUGAAGUGUUUUAGCCUAUUGUUUUCUCAAGUCCAACCCAGAAGCAUGGAAUGAUGGAAUUAAGAACAUUAUGGGUGUAGUCACUUGUAAAAACACCACUUUGAGGAAAAUUGGAGCUCAAUUUAAAGAGUUGUUUAACAAAACAUGUUUUAAUCGGCUGAAGACUGUUGCCAUAUUUCCACAUCGAAUAAGGGUGCUUUCACGGGCACAUAUACUACAGGAAUUCCACCUGUGCUUUCAAUCACUCGCUGCCAAGGGCGGUUUGAGGUAAACCAAACUCACUAAUCUAGGCCAUCAGUCUUGUGAGACCACACCAUACAGUAGAUGAUUGUGCUUUGGAGUCUUUGUGCAGUGUCUGCUGUGGCUGUUUCAUAGUGUCCCAUUAGCUGUUUAUUCUUCAGGAGCUGGAUGAUGGUAAAGAACUCACUACCAGGGCUGGAGACCUGGAAGGCUAACAGAGAGAACAGAUACCCCUACAUACUGCCUUGAGAGUAUCAUAGCACCACCACAUGCUGCCCCUGAGUAAUAGGAGUGUAAUUACCAUGAUUAUAUAACCUGCUGUAUCUAAGUACAUGAACACAUCCUUCACAUCUCUCCCAUGUUCGGUAAUGCUUCCCACUUUCUGAUCACGUUGAUUAAUAACAGUCCCUGUGAUUUCAGAUUACCACUGUAGAGUGAAGCUAUAUCAACGCUAGUUAUGUCCCUGUAAGUACUCUGUCUGUCCAUAUAUCCAUUCAUCAAGUCAGUGGUCUGCUUUUCAGGGGGCUGUACAGAGCCAGACUUAAUCUGUAGCCAGGGUCCUUUGCGCAGCACCAUGGCUGACUUCUGGAGGAUGGUGUGGGAGCAGAAUGUUAGGAUCAUCUUCAUGGUGACCCCCCUGAAACAGAAGGACAUGGUGAGUGAUGGAUUUGAUGGUGAUUGGACACUGAACAAUAAUCAAAAUGUAGAAAAUCUUCAUGGGUAAUAUGUUGAUUACAUUCACAGCAUCAAGUUCGACCAAUAGACGUGCAUAGUUCUUCUGGUUUCACAUUGCUCAGAAUGCUGCCCAUGAAUUUAGGAAGAAUCUUCAUAAGCAUAUUCUUGCCACUUGGUUUGGGUGCUGCACAGAGUAUGGGUGUAUCUAGCAAAAUGUGUCAGAAGUGUCACAUUUCCUGCUGUGCAUUGUCGUGGAAAUUUCCUGUAUUACCAAAUCAUGAGAGAGCAAACCACACACAAGUCAGAGUUAUCAUAAAGUCCAUCUUUAAUUAUAUGAGCUUCACCAUAGCCCUGUGACUCAGAUCAAUUGUGUCCAUAAAUGAAUUCUGAGAGUGCUUACAUAAUGGCAACAGAUCAUUUAUAGCAAAGACACACAUAGCCAGACAGCAUUGGCUAUAAAUUAUUCAGUUUGGUCUCCUAAACUAAGUUCUUCUCAUUCUUGGUACCACUUAGAACCAAAACUUUACCUCAUCCAAUGGCAUAUAUCAAUACUAGACACUCCCAACAAAAAUACAACCCCUCCUGGACAAGCUCAGAGACAGUGAGCCUCCUAGGACAUAUACUAAAUCAAGAGAAAGGCAACCUGAGGGGACAAGUAAUAGUUAGACACAUUCCCAUAAGAAGACAAGCCUGACCUCUCCCCUCUCUGGGGCCCAAGUAACUUUUCCCACAUAAGCAUACUUAUGAACAUUGAUAAAACAUCUUAUUUAUCAAUGUUACCUAAAGAAUUCUGAUUCCGCUAACACAGCAUGCAGUCGUUUCUCUACUUCUAUUAGUUAGACCAUGUUACUCCAGGUGCUGUGUGACGAGUACUGAGUGGUAAAGUUUACCACAGUGUCUCGUAAACGGGGUCCAGAUUAUUUCAUCACCAUCAUUCACUUACGACAGGUGAGGCCGAGAUCGUCAUCUAUUUUAAUGUAACACCAUUAGUCUCAGCCAUUGGUCGAGAGAUUUAGGCUAAUUCCAAGUUUAAUCGUCUGUCUGUUGCGUGUGUGGUAGAGUGUUGAUAGUGAGUGUGUCUGUGUUUCCGAGGGGCUGUCCCGUAGACAGCACAGUAUUACUACCCUGCCUAGCUGGACCAAUGGCUGAGACCAAUGCUUGAAAAAAACAUUUUCAAACAGAAAACCAAAGUCAGUGUUCCUAAAUGACAAAUUCAUGUGGCACCUCUUCCAUUUUCAAAGUGUUUUCUCCCAUUUGCUCCAAUUGAACACAACCCUGGUCAGAGGGGCCAAAGGUCUGCAAGUCAUUCACUGCCACUGUGGUGAUAGUUGUUAAGGAGGGCACUAUGGCCUGAGCAUUAUUCACUGUGCCUCCAGCCAGCUUAAUGAGGUCAUCCCAGGUCUGUUCAGUCCAGUAACGCAAAGCUGGCAGGAAAAACAGAGAGGAAAGUACAUCCUGAGUGUGAACUUUCAGGUGACUCCAUAUACCUGUUCACGGCUAGGCAAUACUCAGGUAAGGAAAAUUAUGAAAGUGAAAGAAAAAAAAAAAGGAAGAAACUGCAGAGGCAUAAUCAUGACAAAGAGAAACAAGUAGCAGUGAGCAAGACUGGUUAACAAAAAAAUAUCUAGAAAUACAGUGCAUUUGGAAAGUAUUCAGACCCCUUGACUUUUUACAGAUCUUGUUACGUUACAGCCCUAUUCUAAA